ACAUAUGAAUUGUUUAGUGGUUUAGUACCGGUAUUUAUAUCUUACAUGCGUUUUGUUAUUACACAAUAACAAAACGCAUGUAAGAUAUAAAACGCAUGUAAGAUAUAAAUACCGGUACUAAACCACUAAACCAUUCAUAUGU